rnacentral:rRNA from 1 species
UAGGUUUAGAGAAGCGAACCCGGAGAACUGAAACAUCUUAGUACCCGGAGGAAAAGAAAUCAAUCGAGAUACCCUUAGUAGCGGCGAGCGAAGCGGGUAGAGCCCAAACCGUACAUUUGUGCGGGGUUGUAGGACGGAUAAUAUGUAUUGUGAAUGGUAGCCGAAUACGAUGGAAAGCGUAUCCGCAGUGGGUAAUAGGCCCGUAGGCGAAACCUGAAGCAAGCUAAUCCUGUUCCUGAGUAGGGCGGGGCACGUGAAACCCUGUCUGAAUCCGGGAGGACCACCUUCCAAGGCUAAAUACGAGUUGAUGACCGAUAGUGAAGUAGUACCGUGAGGGAAAGGUGAAAAGCACCCCGGGAGGGGAGUGAAAUAGAACCUGAAACCGUGUGCAUACAAGCGGUCGGAGCAGUCUAUAUGAUUGUGACGGCGUGCCUUUUGUUUAAUGAGCCAGCGAGUUACUCCUCUAGAGCAAGGUUAAGGGCCUCAGGUCUGUAGCCGCAGCGAAAGCAAGUCUUAAUAGGGCGUCGAGUUCUAGGGGGUAGACACGAAACCUUGUGAUCUAGUUAUGACCAGGUUGAAGCGUGGGUAACACUACGUGGAGGACCGAACCAGUAUCGGCUGAAAACGAUUUGGAUGAGUUGUGACUAGGGGUGAAAGGCCAAUCAAACUAGGUGAUAGCUUGUUCUCUCCGA